AACACAUACACACGGAACUAUGCUCAACUCUCCUUUGCUGGUUCAGCCAGCCUUCCAGAAGCUUUGCCUCCACACAGCAUGUCAGCCCCCUCUGUGGUGUCUUCCUGGUCCUAAAUCAAUCCGUUGUAUCAUAAUGCAAUUAUAUAUAUAUUUUUUUUUGCAUUUCAGAAUGUGGUGGGGACACGACUCUCAUCCCCAGUUAAAAUUUCGCCACUGGCAGCAUACAUAAAGUGCCCAUCUAUACAUCCCUUGCCAUUUCCAUGUGACAAAGACUAUGGCCUUUUCAAAUACAUUCCUGCUCGAAUUCAAGGAAAGACUGAUACAGACCAAGUCGUUAACAUGUCACGCUGGAGAGCGACAUAAAUGAGGAAGAGCUAGAUGAGAUGAUGACCACGCUCGGUAGAGUAGCCUAUUCAUUCGUUUAUUCUGCGCGCUCGAUUGGUCCAAAAUACUCUACUGUACGGCGAGGGAGUGAACGCUGACUUGAGAGAUAUUUUUUGAGAAGCUCAUCGGAAACUAUCUUCCUCCAUUUUUUAAUAAGAACGUCGUAAAUUGUACAAUUCUUGAAAUAGUUCGAACCUUAGAAUUACGCCCACGUGAUUGUCUGGUGACAGACAAGUCACUCCAUCAAGGAGGUGCUGUAACGGUUGUCCCUGAAAGAGAUUCCCUAAAAACGGUUUUUAGCUGAACAAUUCUAACCGAACGAGGUUGGCUCAAGGAGGAGGACACACAAUAGCGCGCCGCGAUAUUAACCGCGUGGCUAACAAAAGAAAACAGCCUUGGUUUUUGACACUUUCGCGGUUUACAGAAAUUCAAGUAUUCAGCAAGACCCCUUUGUCAACCCAUGAGAAAAUAGUGGAUUCGCUUUUUAGGUUCAUGUUCUGAACUCUCAAGGAAUCUCCACCUCAUUUGGUGUCCAUCAUGGACUUUUAAGGUGUCCAUCAUGUUGUCAACUAUGGACCACUUCAAGACAUUGAGCCCCACACGCAGGCAUAUGGAAGAGCAAGGAGGGACGGCACAAGCUCACGUGGAUCAAAAUGAGUUGGAGGACGAGAAAAUUGCCAAGACUCCUGACACUUUGGUUGGCUCAGAGAAAUGGCGAUGCCUACUGCAAACGUCCUUGUUCCGCGAGCGUCUCAUUGAAAUGGCUGUCAAUGAGAUCCCUACUGUGGUUCAAUGGCAGCUUUUCGGAAGUCGGUGGAAUGGUUGGCGACCUGCGGUCGCUCUUACCAUUUUCAGACCUGGCAGUCACAGCUACAGCUUCCAAGGCUACAAUGAAGAGCAUAAUGAAGCACCUGGGCGUUCGGUGAGGUGGUGAAAAGUCCUGACAGGGACAACAUCAGACUGGCAAUGAAGAAGGUGUCGUCUGACCCUGUUGAGACAUUGUCAUGGUUGGUCAAAGAGUUGGCCUGAAAGGGGCCUGAGACCCCAAGGACUGUCAUAUACUGUAAGAGUAGUAAAGACUGUUCUUUGCUGUACAGCAAGGUUUCUCAGCGUUUCUUUGGGGAGAAUUCGGUGCAUCGAGCAGGAGUAGAGGACACACGGGAAAACAGUCUUUUUGACAUGAACCACUCAGAGACACCCGAGCACAUACAACUGCACAUCAUCUCCGGUCUUGGAAGAUAAGUAAAUCUAAUCUUCGAGUUGUGAUGGCUUCUUCAGCACAGGGAAUGGGGGUGGACUUUUAGGGUGUCCAUCAUUUCGUCAACUAUGGACCACUUCCAGACAUUGAGCCCCACAUGCUGGCAUAUGGAAGAGCGGGGAGGGAGGGCACAAGCUCACGUUCACUUAUCGUGUACAAUGGAAGGCAGCUUGUUGGGAGUUUGGGAUAAGAUGAGAAUGUAUGUGUCAAACAGUACGAGCUGCAGGAGGGUGAAAGUGUUACAUCUUUUUAAAGAUGUCACGCAACCAAUAUCACCCAAACAUGACUGCUGUGAAAAUCACGCUACCUCAUGCAACUGCAGGGCAAUUAUAGUCCUUUGGAGAGGCAUGCAGGACAACAAUUACAAACAUUACAGACUGGUCAGUGAAGAGUGUAGGCAAUACCUGAGAAAGGAAUGACAUGACCUUGCACUUGAGAUGGCGCACACAGGUGUUCAUGGAAGUGUCUGUUUAUUGCACAUCAUCCAAUGUGGGUAACCCUGACAAAAUCAUGGACAACAUUCUGAGCACAAUUCCCUUUUCUCAAUUUUUUCUGCUCUGCCCAUUACUGACAUGAGACAUGCAAUAGCCCUACUAUCUAUCAUCACUGAAAUUUUGGGGGAUGUUUAAGACUUGAGUGAUGAUGAUGAUGAUGAUGAUGAUGAUGAUUCAGUGUUGGGACACCUUGAGGCUUUUGCAAACAUGACUGUGUAUACAUGAGGACUUUUAUAUUCUGUGUUGUCAAAUUAAUACUGUAGGUAUUAUCUCCUCUGCUUAACACUUCGAAAGACUUAUGUAGUCAAAUAUAUUAUUGUUGUGGAUACAGGCCCUCUUACCAUUGAGCUGUAGCUGUAUGGAAUAGUAGAAUGUAUGCCAUACACACACUGUAAAUACAUAAUUUGGCUUAAAGAUUUGUUCUAACACUCAUUUUCAGUUAUAUAAAGUAUAGAGUAGGCCAAAAUGUGACCUGUCACCCAUAGUUAGUUAGUUCCUAAUGAGCAUUUUGAAUAUCUCCCUUUUCUCCUUCACUGGACUUCAAUAAAUAAUCAAGAU